rnacentral:rRNA from 1 species
GAUGAACGCUGGCGGCGUGCCUAAUACAUGCAAGUCGAGCGAACAGACGAGGAGCUUGCUCCUCUGACGUUAGCGGCGGACGGGUGAGUAACACGUGGAUAACCUACCUAUAAGACUGGGAUAACUUCGGGAAACCGGAGCUAAUACCGGAUAAUAUAUUGAACCGCAUGGUUCAAUAGUGAAAGACGGUUUUGCUGUCACUUAUAGAUGGAUCCGCGCCGCAUUAGCUAGUUGGUAAGGUAACGGCUUACCAAGGCAACGAUGCGUAGCCGACCUGAGAGGGUGAUCGGCCACACUGGAACUGAGACACGGUCCAGACCCCUACGGGAGGCAGCCGUAGGGAAUCUUCCGGAAUGGGCGAAAGCCUGACGGAGCAACGCCGCGUGAGUGAUGAAGGUCUUCGGAUCGUAAAACUCUGUUAUUAGGGAAGAACAAAAGUGUAAGUAACUAUGCACGUCUUGACGGUACCUAAUCAGAAAGCCACGGCUAACUACGUG